UUGUCUCUCUUGAGUGGAUCCUGAGUACGACGGAGCACGUGAAAUUCCGUCGGAAUCUGGGAGGACCAUCUCCUAAGGCUAAAUACUCUCUAGUGACCGAUAGUGAACCAGUACCGUGAGGGAAAGGUGAAAAGCACCCCGGAAGGGGAGUGAAAUAGAACCUGAAACCGUGUGCUUACAAGUAGUCAGAGCCCGUUAAUGGGUGAUGGCGUGCCUUUUGUAGAAUGAACCGGCGAGUUACGAUUUGAUGCAAGGUUAAGCAGUAAAUGUGGAGCCGUAGCGAAAGCGAGUCUGAAUAGGGCG
rnacentral:rRNA from 1 species